rnacentral:rRNA from 1 species
UGCGCAGGCGGUUCGUUGUGUCGGCGGUGAAAGCCCCGGGCUUAACCUGGGAAUGGCCGUUGAAACUGGCGAACUGGAGUGUGGCAGAGGGGGGUGGAAUUCCGCGUGUAGCAGUGAAAUGCGUAGAGAUGCGGAGGAACACCGAUGGCGAAGGCAGCCCCCUGGGCUGACACUGACGCUCAGGCACGAAAGCGUGGGGAGCAAACA